UCCUUUUAGCAAAAUGUUGCUAGUGUAUGCAAUGGUGUCAGCGUUUGGAAGCUGAUUAUGGGAUGGAUCCCCGGAUAUGGCAGUCUCUAGAUGGUCCAUCCUUUCAUCACAGCUCCAAACUUUGUCUCUGUAACUCCUUCCAUGGGUGUUUUUGAAACACACUCAUCUUCAGUAGGUCUGAAAAAAAUCUAGUUGUACUUCAUUCUAUAUAUUGCUUCUCUGAGAUGCAGUUUAAUAUAGUUUCAUGUUUUUUAUUUCAUUAAUUAAUUUAUUUAUUCACUUUACAUCCUGAUCAUAGCUCCCUCCCACCUCCUCUCUUCCCAGAUGCACACUAAAAACCCCUUACCCAUCACAUCCUCCCCUCUCCUCAGAGAAGGGGAAGUCAUUCAGGUAUACCACCCUGCCCUGUGACACACAGCUGCAGCGGGAGUAAGCCAGUCCUUUCCCACUGAGGUUAGGCCAGGCAUUCCAGCUAGGUGAAGAGUAUCCCAUGGCAGGUAACAGAGUCAGAGACAACCCCACUCCAGUUGUUAGGGACUCACAUGGAGACCAAGCUGCACAUCUGGUAUAUGUAGAGGGGCUAAGUUCAGCCCCUUGGUUGAUGAUUCAUUCUCUGUGAGCCCACAUGGGCCAAGGUUAGUUGAUGCUACAGGUCUUCUUGUGGUGUCCUUGGCCUCUCUAGCUCAUGUUUAACUUGUUUUUUAAUCAUCAUUUCAUUAGGUUUUUUAAGUCAAAUUUUGAAGCUUUUAUAUUGAUUCAUUAUUUAUGUCAAUACAAUAAAAGAGCAAUUAUUAUGUGACCAUAUAAGUCCUAUACUAUAAUAUAUUGACUUUUAAAUAUCAUUCAGUCAUCAGGUAUAUCUGUGGUAGGCCUGAUACUUUUAAAAUUUUUUUUUUUCAUGAACGGUGAAGCAAUCAGGACUCAGAGAAAUUUAAAAAUGCACAAAUGAAAUAAAGUUAGUUUUUUUUAUUUUUUAUUUUUUUAUUUUUUUUUAGAAAACAGAACCUCCAAAUAUGGUUGUUAACAUAUUUUGGUGUAAAUACUUCUACAUUGACAUCAUUUGAAUGCUUCCUAAGUGGCCAUAGGCUGCAAAUAUUAUGGCUUGCCAGUCUGGUCAAUGCUCUUUAAUUUUCUUUUUUAACAUUAAAAUAAAAAAGAAAUUAUAUUAGCCACGAAGGAAGAACUCGUUCUGUCCCAUUGACUAAUUGGCAUUGAUAAAUCAGCUGCAUUCGUAUUACAAGAAGACAGUAUAACAGAUUGAUGCUGAGCUGCUCUCUCUAGGAAUAGAGCUGAGGAGAACUCAGCACACCAUCUGGAAGAGACAAUGAGAGGUGGUAAAUUUCAUGCAACAGGGAGAAGGGGAGGGCACUUUUCAGAUGCCACAUAUCUGAGCUGACACUUUGAUGUGUUCAACUGUAAUCUCUCCUGUCAAAAUAUUUUUUUCUUUCCCUAUACUUGGUCUAAUGCAAUCAGACGACAGUGUGGAAGACUGCCACGUUCUCUUAGGUGAGAUUUCUCUUGGAAUAAGUAACAAAGCCAAAUAGUGUCCAUAUUGUAAUGUCACAAUUCAAAUGGUGAGUUAAAAAAGAAAGAAGAAAGAAAGAAAG
rnacentral:lncRNA from 1 species